rnacentral:rRNA from 1 species
UACAGAGAGUGCGAACGUUGUUCGGAAUUACUGGGCUUAAAGCGCACGUAGGCUGUGCUGCAAGUGUCAGGUGAAAUCCCACGGCUCACCCGUGGAACUGCCUGGCAGACUGCAGUGCUCGAGUGUGGUAGGGGAGAGCGGAACUCCUGGUGGAGCGGUGAAAUGCGUAGAUAUCAGGAGGAACACCGGUGGCGAAGGCGGCUCUCUGGUCCACAACUGACGCUGAGGUGCGAAAGCCAGGGGAGCAAACGGG